ACUCCUACGGGAGGCAACAGUGGGGAAUAUUGGACAAUGGGCGCAAGCCUGAUCCAGCCAUGCCGCGUGAGUGAUGAAGGCCCUAGGGUUGUAAAGCUCUUUCACCGGUGAAGAUAAUGACGGUAACCGGAGAAGAAGCCCCGGCUAACUUCGUGCCAGCAGCCGCGGUAAUACGAAGGGGGCUAGCGUUGUUCGGAUUUACUGGGCGUAAAGCGCACGUAGGCGGACUAUUAAGUCAGGGGUGAAAUCCCGGGGCUCAACCCCGGAACUGCCUUUGAUACUGGUAGUCUUGAGUUCGAGAGAGGUGAGUGGAAUUCCGAGUGUAGAGGUGAAAUUCGUAGAUAUUCGGAGGAACACCAGUGGCGAAGGCGGCUCACUGGCUCGAUACUGACGCUGAGGUGCGAAAGCGUGGGGAGCAAACAGGAUUAGAUACCCCAGUAGUCCCAUG
rnacentral:rRNA from 1 species